rnacentral:rRNA from 1 species
GACGAACGCUAGCGGCGUGCCUAAUACAUGCAAGUAGGACGCAGAUGCGAACGGGUGAUUAACGCGUCGGUCACUACCUAUUAGAGGGGGAUAACUAUUGGAAACGAUAGCUAAUACCGCAUACUAGUAGAUGGACCUGCGUUGUAUUAGGUAGUAGGUAGGGUCAUGGCAUCCCUAGGCAACGAUACAUAGCCGACUUUAGAGGGUGAUCGGCCACACGUGGACGUAGGCAAGGGCCCAACUUCUAAGGGAGGCAGCAGUAGGGAAUCUUUGGCAAUGGGGGGAAACCCGAAUCAUGAACGCCGGGUGAGUGAAGAAGGUUCUCGGAUUGUAAAGGUAGGUUGUUAAGGAAGCGGUACUUGACCAGAAAGGGCCGGCUAACUACGUGCCAGCAGCCGCGGUAAUUC